rnacentral:rRNA from 1 species
GACGAACGCUGGCGGCGUGCUUAACACAUGCAAGUCGAGCGGUAAGGCCUUUCGGGGUACACGAGCGGCGAACGGGUGAGUAACACGUGGGUGAUCUGCCCUGCACUCUGGGAUAAGCCUGGGAAACUGGGUCUAAUACUGGAUAUGACCUCAGCAUGCAUGUGCUGGGGUGGAAAGCUUUUGGGGUGCAGGAUGGGCCCGCGGCCUAUCAGCUUGUUGGUGGGGUAAUGGCCUACCAAGGCGACGACGGGUAGCCGACCUGAGAGGGUGACCGGCCACACUGGGACUGAGACACGGCCCAGACUCCUACGGGAGGCAGCAGUGGGGAAUAUUGCACAAUGGGCGGAAGCCUGAUGCAGCGACGCCGCGUGAGGGAUGAAGGCCUUCGGGUUGUAAACCUCUUUCAGCAGGGACGAAGCGUGAGUGACGGUACCUGCAGAAGAAGCACCGGCUAACUACGUGCCAGCCGCCGCGGUAAUAC